UGGGGAAUAUUGCACAAUGGGGGAAACCCUGAUGCAGCGACGCCGCGUGAACGAAGAAGGUAUUCGUAUCGUAAAGUUCUGUCCUAUGGGAAGAUAAUGACAGUACCAUAGAAGAAAGCUCCGGCUAAAUACGUGCCACCAGCCGCGGUAAUACGUAUGGAGCGAGCGUUGUCCGGAAUUAUUGGGCGUAAAGGGUACGCAGGCGGUUUAAUAAGUCGAAUGUUAAAGAUCGGGGCUCAACCCCGCAAAGCAUUGGAAACUGAUAAACUUGAGUAGUGGAGAGGAAAGUGGAAUUCCUAGUGUAGUGGUGAAAUACGUAGAUAUUAGGAGGAAUACCAGUAGCGAAGGCGACUUUCUGGACACAAACUGACGCUGAGGUACGAAAGCGUGGGGAGCAAACAGG
rnacentral:rRNA from 1 species